UAAUACUUAACACACGUGUCGUGUAUUUUCACAUUUCAUUUCAUUUCAAUCACUGCUAACAUUAGGUUGUCUUUGUUAUGAAUCUAAUGGUCAUCAAUGGUCUGCUAAAGACAAUGAUUAUACGAUUGACACUACUAAAAGACGUGGAUGUGGUUAUCAUGAAAAUGACAUGAAUUUGAUCCACUGAUGGCAUAAUUUGCCAAUUGUAAUAAACACCGGAAGCGCUCACAUGUCCAACACGUGGACAAAGAUGAAGAUUGAAUGAAUGAUAACACGUGGUUGUGAUGAUAGUGUGAAUUAUCAAUGAUUCAAACAGUAAGUUGUAAUUUGUUUGUUAUUUUUUUGUGUUAAUCUAAUGGUUAAUGUGAUGAUAAAUUACCGGCGAAGUGACAAAACCAUGAAUUAUGUGAUUUAAUCACAUAUUAAAUUA